AGAGUUUGAUCCUGGCUCAGAUUGAACGCUGGCGGCAUGCCUUACACAUGCAAGUCGAACGGCAGCACGGGAGCAAUCCUGGUGGCGAGUGGCGAACGGGUGAGUAAUAUAUCGGAACGUGCCCAGUCGUGGGGGAUAACGUAGCGAAAGCUACGCUAAUACCGCAUACGAUCUAUGGAUGAAAGCGGGGGAUCGCAAGACCUCGCGCGAUUGGAGCGGCCGAUAUCAGAUUAGGUAGUUGGUGGGGUAAAGGCUCACCAAGCCGACGAUCUGUAGCUGGUCUGAGAGGACGACCAGCCACACUGGGACUGAGACACGGCCCAGACUCCUACGGGAGGCAGCAGUGGGGAAUUUUGGACAAUGGGCGCAAGCCUGAUCCAGCAAUGCCGCGUGCAGGAUGAAGGCCUUCGGGUUGUAAACUGCUUUUGUACGGAGCGAAAAGGCUUCCACUAAUACUGGGGGCUCAUGACGGUACCGUAAGAAUAAGCACCGGCUAACUACGUGCCAGCAGCCGCGGUAAUACGUAGGGUGCGAGCGUUAAUCGGAAUUACUGGGCGUAAAGCGUGCGCAGGCGGUUAUGUAAGACAGAUGUGAAAUCCCCG
rnacentral:rRNA from 1 species